rnacentral:rRNA from 1 species
GAUGAACGCUGGCGGCGUGCUUAACACAUGCAAGUCGAACGGAAAGGCCCAAGCUUGCUUGGGUACUCGAGUGGCGAACGGGUGAGUAACACGUGGGUGAUCUGCCCUGCACUUCGGGAUAAGCCUGGGAAACUGGGUCUAAUACCGGAUAGGACGAUGGUUUGGAUGCCAUUGUGGAAAGUUUUUUCGGUGUGGGAUGAGCUCGCGGCCUAUCAGCUUGUUGGUGGGGUAAUGGCCUACCAAGGCGUCGACGGGUAGCCGGCCUGAGAGGGUGUACGGCCACAUUGGGACUGAGAUACGGCCCAGACUCCUACGGGAGGCAGCAGUGGGGAAUACUGCACAAUGGGCGCAAGCCUGAUGCAGCGACGCCGCGUGGGGGAUGACGGCCUUCGGGUUGUAAACUCCUUUCGCUAGGGACGAAGCGUUUUUGUGACGGUACCUGGAGAAGAAGCACCGGCUAACUACGUG